AUGUAGAUGACGAGUCCCAAAUAGGACGGGUUAAAUGCGCAUCCUGAAU
rnacentral:hammerhead_ribozyme from 1 species